CGCUGGCGGCGUGCCUAACACAUGCAAGUCGAACGGACUUUACAUGAAGCCUAGCGAAUGUAAAGUUAGUGGCGGACGGGUGAGUAACGCGUGAAUAACCUGCCUUAUACUGGGGGGACAACAGUUGGAAACGACUGCUAAUACCGCAUAAGCGCACGGAGCUGCAUGGCUCGGUGUGAAAAACUCCGGUGGUAUAAGAUGGAUUCGCGUCUGAUUAGCUAGUUGGUGAGGUAACGGCUCACCAAGGCGACGAUCAGUAGCCGGCCUGAGAGGGUGAACGGCCACAUUGGGACUGAGACACGGCCCAAACUCCUACGGGAGGCAGCAGUGGGGAAUAUUGCACAAUGGGGGAAACCCUGAUGCAGCGACGCCGCGUGAGUGAAGAAGUAUUUCGGUAUGUAAAGCUCUAUCAGCAGGGAAGAAGAAUGACGGUACCUGACUAAGAAGCCCCGGCUAACUACGUG
rnacentral:rRNA from 1 species